rnacentral:rRNA from 1 species
CGGGACGGGUGAGUAAUGUCUGGGAAACUGCCUGAUGGAGGGGGGUAACUACUGGAAACGGUAGCUAAUACCGCAUAACGUCGCAAGACCAAAGAGGGGGACCUUCGGGCCUCUUGCCAUCGGAUGUGCCCAGAUGGGACUAGCUAGUAGGUGGGGUAACGGCUCACCUAGGCGACGAUCCCUAGCUGGUCUGAGAGGAUGACCAGCCACACUGGAACUGAGACACGGUCCAG